rnacentral:rRNA from 1 species
GGACUACGGGGGUAUCUAAUCCGGUUCGUGCCCCUAGCUUUCGUCCCUUACCGUCGGACCCGUUCUGGUGAGACGCCUUCGCCACUGGUGGUCCCCCGAGGAUCACAAGAUUUCACCCCUACCCCCAAGGUACCUCUCACCUCUCCCGGUCCCAAGCCUAGCAGUAUCCCCUAGCAGCCUGACAGUUAAGCUGCCAGAUUUCCCAAGGGACUUACUUGGCCGGCUACAGACCCUUUAGACCCAAUAAAAGCGGUUACCACUCGGGCCGCCGGUGUUACCGCGGCGGCUGGCACCGGUCUUGCCCGGCCCUUGCUAACAGAUGCUUUUUAGGCAUCUGGACAGCCAACAUUAUAUGCUGGCACUCGAGAUUCCCUUAUCACGGUUUCCCGCAUUGUAAAGUUUUCGCGCCUGCUGCCCCCCAUAGG